rnacentral:rRNA from 1 species
UACGAAGGGGGCUAGCGUUGCUCGGAAUCACUGGGCGUAAAGCGCACGUAGGCGGACUCUUAAGUCGGUGGUGAAAUCCUGGAGCUCAACUCCAGAACUGCCUUCGAUACUGGGAGUCUCGAGUCCGGGAGAGGUGAGUGGAACUGCGAGUGUAGAGGUGAAAUUCGUAGAUAUUCGCAAGAACACCAGUGGCGAAGGCGGCUCACUGGCCCGGUACUGACGCUGAGGUGCGAAAGCGUGGGGAGCGAACGGG